rnacentral:rRNA from 1 species
UACGUAGGUGACAAGCGUUGUCCGGAUUUACUGGGCGUAAAGCGUGCGCAGGCGGUUUUGUAAGCCAGAUGUGAAAUCCCCGGGCUUAACCUGGGAAUGGCAUUUGGGACUGCAAGGCUGGAGUGUGGCAGAGGAGACUGGAAUUCCUGGUGUAGCAGUGAAAUGCGUAGAUAUCAGGAGGAAUACCGAUGGCGAAGGCAGGUCUCUGGGCUAACACUGACGCUCAUGCACGAAAGCGUGGGGAGCAAACAGG